rnacentral:rRNA from 1 species
CUCAAAGAUUAAGCCAUGCAAGUGGUUAUUUAACCCGACAGUUUAAAUAAGUGUCAUACGAUACGUUAUUACAACGCACUACCGAUUCCAUUCUCAAUUGUCUCUUAAGAGACAAAAGAACAACAUCACUUAUGCAACUGCAGACAGCUGCUUAAUACAGUCACACUUGUCUUGACUUGGCGCUAUUACCACACGAUUUCAAGCUUGUUUAUACACUGAGCCUUAUGGCUCUUCUUAAACAACGCUCUGACUAACCCUAUCCUUAUGGAUAACUCAGGGAAAGUUUGGCUAAUACAUACGAGAUUAUACAAUACACACACUUUGUUUGGGAUGUAUUUCCCUUUCAUUUUGUACUAAUCUACACUUCUCUGCACUCAAUGGUUGAGCUAUGGUGUCAAUUCUUGACAUCAGUCACUAGUUCAAACGCAACAUGAGAGACAUUGAGCACGCUUCGUACUAGCUUCUUAUUUUUAAUAAGAGCUUUUACAUUAAACGCUGAGCAGACUUUACGAAGAUUUCUUUGUGAAGCAUGUCAUACAAGCAUCUACAGCAUCAAGUCACAGGGUUGGCAAGUGUAUUUUCGAACCUUCAAAGCAGUCACGCAUACGGAAGAGUAGUUUCUGAUCCCAUAGAAGGAGCACCGUACAAUGAGAGACCGCUCUUAGUUCUAAGGAACGCAGCAGGCGCGUAAAUUGCCCAAUGACAGUACCCUACGAUCUCUUAACUUUGUUAACAAUUCGAUACAUAUUGAAUCAUUGCAAUUGAAUACGCAACACACACACGAGAAUGGUAUCUGUGUUAUUGUAACGUAUUUAGACAUUUAAAACCUGUCUUUAUACUAAUAUCCUUGUCUUACCUGUUCUCUUUAUAAUUAUUAACGUAUUCAGUUCAUCUUGUCUAAGAUUUCUAAUACGUUGAGGCAGUGACAAGCUGUAACGGUUGAGUAUUUUAAAUGACGAGUGUCUGGCAUUGCCGCUCUUUCGGGAGCUUGGCAAGUUGCCGACGCUUUGUGUGCUCAAUUGGAAUGCGGUGAGUUUAAGCAACUCAGAACCUUUUAAUGGUGCUUAUUAAUACAUUCUCUAUUGACGUGUCUGAAUUUCAAGUGGAGGGCAAGUCUGGUGCCAGCAGCCGCGGUAAUACCAGCUCCACUGGCCUAUACAAUCAUUGUUGCGGUUAAGAGGCUCGUAGUUGGAUUGAACUACUAUAUAUUCUAUAUACGUAGUAUUACAUUUCUCUCGUAAGAGAGUUAUGUUCGACAUUAGAACUCUUUUAACAAUAUAAAGCUAACAGCAUUGUUAAAUACAACACGCUCUAUCUCUAUUGACGGUAUUACUACGUAUUCUUUGGAAUACCAUUCAACACUGUGAACAAAUCAGAGUGUAUCAAACAUGUUGUUUAACUUGUGCAUUGUAUGUCUAUCAUGGGGUGUUGCACUCGUUAUUACAUUAGACACACCAUACAAUACUUUAAUGUCUAAUGUUAGCUUUCUAAUCUUUAUUAGAAAAAUGUCGAUGGGGAUAGUUGGAGCCAACAGUACUGCUGGGCGAGCGGUGAAAUGCAUUGACCCUAGCAAGACUACCAAAAGCGAAAGCAGUUGGCUAGGCUAUACUCUUUGUGAUCUAUUCACUUCUUUAUAACGCUCUUAACAUCUUCUCUUUAACAACACACACGCUUUAAAAGAGACAGAAAGUUUAAGACGUUAUUAAGAAUCUAUAGAAUAUCACUUUACAAUGAAGAACGAAGGUUGGGGGAUCAAAGAGGAUCAGAUACCCUCGUCGUCCCAUUUGUUACAUCAAACGAUGGACUCUCAAUUGCAAUUUCUGUUAUUCAGAUUGCUAAAUGCACCUCAACCUGCAAAUUAUUACUUGGCUCGAGCUCGUAUCUUUAUCUCGUAUAAAGUACGCUCGCCUAACUUUAAAUUUCGUACGGUCUCGAUGGACAUUUUGAUUUGAUAUCUUUUAUUCUGCGUGUAGGCUAUACAUGUUUAAUUGGCUUCUCUAUCUUUUAACCAAGAUUAGAACUGUUUACAUGGCGUGCACUUGAUUCUCUGAGCUUUGCGCUCAAUUCUGGUGAGAAGUAAGCACUCUGUUUAGCCUCCCGCGCUGUGUGUCUUCCUAAUACGAGGGCACUAACAGUUGUCGUGUGUGUGCUAUUAACAAUUUUUGUGUGAAGCACGCGUUAGGCACGCGCUUACUGCAGAAAUGUCUGAGACAUUCUCCUCCGGGGGUAGUAUGCACGCAAGUGUGAAACUUGAAGGAAUUGACGGAAGGGCACCACAAGAACGCGUGGAGCAUGUGGCUUAAUUUGACUCAACGCGGGAAAUCUUACCGGGUCCGGACACACUGAGGAUUGACAGGCAAUAUAUUAGCAUAAAGACUCGUCUUUAGCGCUAAUUGUUAAAUAUGCUAGUCCUUUCAUGAUUAUGUGAUAGGUGGUGCAUGGCCGUUCUUAGUUCGUGGAGUGAUCUGUCUGCUUAAUUGCGUUUCACUAAGGGCCAUAAAUUCAAGGUAUGUUAGCAAAUGCUGCUCUAUUGACCCCUAAUAGGCUUAACUGUCUUUAGCGCGUGUCUCACGAGUUCUUUAAAGCACUGCGCAUGCUGUUGGGUCCUGAAAGCAACGAACGUGACCGCAACGUCUUGUUGCCUCUCUAUAAUACCUUCUUAUUUUUAAUAAGAGUAUUUACCUGAGGCUAUUUUAAAACUAGACGGACCGCUGUUUCUUUCUUAAACCAGAGGAAGGUUGCGGCAAUAACAGGUCUGUGAUGCCCUUAGAUGUUCCGGGCUGCACACGUGCUACAAUGAUCAGUACAGUGAGCAUCUCAAUUUUAUAACACCGUAUUAAGCGCUUGGGUCGUAAUUGUUAGGCCUUUUAGGUUUUUUCAAUUGCGUUUCUCCAAUGCGCACGGUAAAGCCUGCUUCGAGAGUAAGUGGGUAAUCCAUUGGAAGUAAUGAUUUCCUUAUUUUUAUAAACAGCACACCAAUAUACGGCAUUCAUUCCCGAGACGGCUUAGUUCCGACUUUGUGCGAAUGUAAUGUAUUCUUAUCCGUAUGUGCGAUUGUCAAUUCAUGGUGGGACAGACCAUUGUUAAUUGUUGGUCUCGGUCUUAACUAGGAAUGCCUUGUACGGGUCUUUGGUUCAACAAACCACCCGGAAUACGUCCCUGCCCUUUGUACACACCGCCCGUCGCUCUUACCGAUGGACUUCUUUGUGAGUCUUGGGGACUGGGUUAAGCGAUUUCUUUUAGAAUGAGCUCUACCUAUGGAAACCAAUACGAACAAUGUGGUCUAAAGGAAAGAGAAGUCGUAACAAGGCAACAGUAGGUGAACCU